UCCACAGAUCAUAUUCGAGGAAGAACAGGCUCCCAAAGAGGCUUAAAAUGGCAUCUGAGGGCAGGCAUUCCCAAACACAGAGCGGUUAUCCAGUCAAUCUGCCUUUGUGAAUGAAUUUGAACUGGAGUCCUUAACCAAGAUCUGCUUGUUUUCAUCAGCAGUCCAGUUCUCUACAAUCAAUACCCUGGGACCCAUUCGGAGGAAUCAACUGCAUUUCCCAUUUGUCUUUUAAUGUACCUUUUAUUUUUAUCACAACAAGGCAAUAUUUUUUAUGACUGUGUUUUUCCCUUAUGUUCUGAGAAACCUGCUUUAUACAAAUCAGCUAAUUUUUUACUUGUUUGUAGUUAA